GGUGAGAUGGCCGAGCGGUCUAAGGCGCCACGUUAAGGUUCUCCUUAAUUAACAUCUUCCAGCAAGAUUCCGUGGUCCGAAAGGGCGUGGGUUCGAAUCCCACUCUCAUCA